CCUACGGGUGGCUGCAGUGGGGAAUCUUCCGCAAUGGGCGCAAGCCUGACGGAGCAACGCCGCGUGAAUGAAGAAGGUCUUCGGAUCGUAAAGUUCUGUUCUUAGGGAAGAAGUCUUAGGUUGUGAAUAAUGACUUAAGUUGACGGUACCUAUUGAGCAAGCUCCGGCUAACUACGUUCUAGCAGCCGCGGUACUACGUAGGGAGCGAGCGUUGUCCGGAAUUACUGGGCGGAAAGGACUAGAAGGCGGGAACUGUAGUUAGAUGUGAAAAAUCCGGGCUUAACCUGGAGACUGCAUUUAAAAGUGGGUUUCUUGAGGGCAGGAGAGGAAAGUGGAAUUCCUAGUGUAGCGGUGAAAUGCGUAGAUAUUAGGAGGAACACCAGUGGCGAAGGCGAGUUUCUGGACUGUACCUGACGCUGAGGCGCGAAAGCAUGGGGAGCGAACAGGAUUAGAUACCCUGGUAGUC
rnacentral:rRNA from 1 species